UACGAAGGGGGCUAGCGUUGCUCGGAAUCACUGGGCGUAAAGGGUGCGUAGGCGGGUCUUUAAGUCAGGGGUGAAAUCCUGGAGCUCAACUCCAGAACUGCCUUCGAUACUGAGAGUCUCGAGUCCGGGAGAGGUGAGUGGAACUGCGAGUGAAGAGGUGAAAUUCGUAGAUAUUCGCAAGAACACCAGUGGCGAAGGCGGCUCACUGGCCCGGUACUGACGCUGAGGUGCGAAAGCGUGGGGAGCAAACAGG
rnacentral:rRNA from 1 species